GUUGUUUCCUGUCAUACUUGCAGUAGAAAAAUGUACGAGUUGUUCCGAAUGGUAUCACAAAUUGGAAAUUUGAUAUUCCUCUUGGAAAUAUAAACAAAUGAGGUUAAAGAUUCGAAUUCUUGAUUCUGAUUUUACUAGUUGGCAAAUAGCAAAAAGCCGAGGUCGAAAGAAAACUCCAGGAAAACGGAAAUUAGAACUACACUAUGUCGUAAUUCUAUCCGUUCUAAGUACGGAGGCCUCAACUAGCGAUUAUAGCUUUCUCGUCGGAUAGAGAUCAACAUUCGGAUAAAGAAGGAAAGCUGAAUUUAAUCCGAGUUCGAGAACUUCUGGCAGAAAAAAGUCUGCAUUUUACAUUCCCGGGACUUCGUCCAAUGUAGAAUGUGAGAGAAUCUCCAUCGUUCCAAAAGCUCGACAAUUCUGAAGGCGGAGAAUAUAAGGUGGGCGUAGUCUCGACGUUUACUCACCAAUAGCUGACUAUUGUCAAGAGUUAGCCUAAGUAUUAAAUCAUUAUAUAUGCACGACACAUCGGAAGUGCUAGUGCUUUCUUCCUAUAUGCAGCUACGGAAAUGCGUCAGGAUGGCCCAUCCGAUAGAGAUCGAUCCGUUCGUUCCGGAGCAAGAAAAGAAGAGGAACUCUUCCUUCCAGCCGGGAUCAUCCCUGGGUAACUUUGACAGAAAAGAAUGGGAAGCCAUCUAUAGUACUAGAGAGAUUAACCCUAGCUCUCGAAGUUUCCAGGAAAAAGUGUACAACUUUAUGGAUCGUCCCAAAGGCUGGAAAGCUUUCGGCUAUCACUUAGCAGUGU
rnacentral:lncRNA from 1 species